rnacentral:rRNA from 1 species
GAUGAACGCUGGCGGCGUGCUUAACGCAUGCAAGUCGAGCGAGAAGUUUUGAAAAGAUUCUUCGGAUGAAAUUUAAAAUGGAAAGCGGCGGACGGGUGAGUAACGCGUAGGCAACCUGCCCCAUACAAAGGGAUAGCAUUUGGAAACGAAUAUUAAUACCUUAUGAAACUUAACUAGUGCAUGCUAGGUAGGUCAAAGAUUUAUCGGUAUGGGAUGGGCCUGCGUCUGAUUAGCUAGUUGGUGAGGUAACGGCUCACCAAGGCGACGAUCAGUAGCCGACCUGAGAGGGUGAACGGCCACAUUGGAACUGAGACACGGUCCAAACUCCUACGGGAGGCAGCAGUGGGGAAUAUUGCACAAUGGGGGAAACCCUGAUGCAGCAACGCCGCGUGAACGAUGAAGGCCUUUGGGUCGUAAAGUUCUGUUCUAGGUGAUGAAAACUGACAGUAACCUAGGAGAAAGCCCCGGCUAACUCCGUG